GACGGAUGGGAGGAUCGGUGGGUCAAGUCGGAGUGGAAGAAGGAGGACAACACGGCCGGCGAGUGGAACCACACCUCCGGCAAAUGGAACGGAGACGCCGACGACAAAGGCAUCCAGACGUCGGAGGACUACAGGUUCUACGCCAUCUCGGCGCAGUACCCGGAGUUCAGCAACAAGGACAAGACCCUGGUGCUGCAGUUCUCGGUCAAGCACGAGCAGGACCUUGACUGUGGCGGCGGCUACGUCAAGCUCCUCCCCGCCGACGUCGACCAGAAGAAGUUCGGCGGCGAGACCCCAUACAGCAUCAUGUUUGGGCCGGACAUCUGCGGGUACGCCACCAAGAAGGUGCACGCGAUCCUCACCAAGAACGGCAAGAACCACCUGAUCAAGAAGGAGGUGCCCUGCGAGACGGACCAGCUCACGCACGUCUACACCUUGAUCCUCCGGCCCGACGCCACGUACAGCAUCCUCAUCGACAACGUCGAGAAGCAGUCCGGCAGCGUCUAUGAUGACUGGGACAUCCUUCCUGCCAAGAAGAAGAGGGAUCCUAAUGCCAAGAAGCCAGAGGACUGGGAGGACGAGGAGUUCCUUCCUGACCCCGAGGACAAGAAGCCAGAGGGGUAUGAUGACAUUCCCAAGGAAAUCACUGAACCUGAUGCAACGAAGCCUGAGGACUGGGAUGAUGAGGAAGAUGGUGAAUGGACAGCUCCAACCAUCCCAAACCCGGAGUACAAGGGACCAUGGAUCCAAAAGAAAAUCAAGAACCCUAACUUCAAGGGCAAAUGGAAGGCACCUUUGAUUGACAAUCCAGAGUUCAAGGAUGAUCCUUACAUCUACGCUUUUGACAGCCUGAAGCACAUUGGCAUUGAGCUGUGGCAGGUUAAAUCAGGAACUCUGUUCGACAACAUCCUGAUCACUGAUGACCCCGAGUACGCCAAGAAGUUCGCGGAGGAGACCUGGGGCAAGCACAAGGAUGCUGAGAAGGCUGCCUUUGAUGAGGCCGAGAAGAAGAGGCUUGAGGAGGAAUCUGCAAACGCUAAGACCGAAGACAAUGACGAUGCAGCUGAUGUAAGCUGCAAAUGA
rnacentral:rRNA from 1 species